rnacentral:rRNA from 1 species
UGCCAGCAGCCGCGGUAAUACGAAGGGACCUAGCGUAGUUCGGAAUUACUGGGCUUAAAGAGUCCGUAGGCGGGAAUCUAAGUCAGUGGUGAAAUCUUGCAGCUCAACUGUAAAAUUGCCAUUGAUACUGGAUUUCUUGAAUUAGUGUGAAGUGGUUAGAAUGUGUAGUGUAGCGGUGAAAUGCAUAGAUAUUACACAGAAUACCAAUUGCGAAGGCAGAUCACUAACACUAUAUUGACGCUGAGGGACGAAAGCGUGGGGAGCGAACAGGAUUAGAUA